rnacentral:lncRNA from 10 species
UUACAUGAUUUAAGCUGAUUAUAUUAUUGUUGUAUUUUUAUCUGCAUAUCAGAGUCUUUUUUUAUUUGUUUGUAUUGUUUUGUUUUUCAGUAAUGAUCUGAAAUAAUGUUGAGCCCAGUAAAUAUUUUAUGUUAAGGAAGGCCUAGAUUGGUCAUCAGACUUGGUUCUGGAUCACUUCUUCCUGUUUCCAAAUUCUAAACAUCCUCAGGAAAUGGAGAAUUCAACACCACUAGUUAUCAUAAAAAUGGAUGUUCAGUGGACUGUCGC